AGGGUUAUAGUUAACUAUAACAUUCGGGUUGCAUUCGAAAAAUAUUGAGUAAUUCAAUUAACCUUA
rnacentral:tRNA from 2 species